rnacentral:rRNA from 1 species
UACGUAGGGUGCAAGCGUUGUCCGGAAUUAUUGGGCGUAAAGAGCUCGUAGGCGGUCUGUCGCGCGGCUGUGAAAUCCCGGAGCUCAACUCCGGGUCUGCAGUCGAUACGGGCAAACUGGAGUACUGCAGGGGAGACUGGAAUUCCUGGUGUAGCGGUGAAAUGCGCAGAUAUCGGAAGGAACGACCAGUCGGCGGAAAGCG